rnacentral:rRNA from 1 species
AUUCCAGCUCCAAUAGCGUAUAUUAAAGUUGUUGCAGUUAAAAAGCUCGUAUUUGAAUUUUUGUCUAUUGGGGCCUUGUUCUGUCCUUAGUGGCGGAGUUUAGUGUCCCGACGGACUUCCUGGGGGCCAACUAGUUGGUGUUUCAUUACACUGAUUAGGGAACCCCCUCGUAUACUGUGAAAAAAUUAGGGUGUUUCAAGCAGGCGUUUCGCAUUGAAUACAUUAGCAUGGAAUAAUAAGAUAGGACUUUGGUGCUAUUUUGUUGGUUUGCACACCAAGGUAAUGAUUAAGAGGGACAGUUGGGGGUAUUCGUAUUAUCAUGUCAGAGGUGAAAUUCUUGGAUUUUGGUAAGACGAACUACUGCGAAAGCAUUUACCAAGGAUGUUUUCAUCG